rnacentral:snRNA from 1 species
AGAUCGGUCGGUUUGUGCAUAAA